GAACGCUGGCGGCAGGCUUAACACAUGCAAGUCGAACGGGUGUCGCAAGACAUCAGUGGCAGACGGGUGAGUAACACGUGGGAACCUUCCUAGGGGUACGGAACAACUCAGGGAAACUUGAGCUAAUACCGUAUACGUCCGUAAGGAGAAAGAUUUAUCGCCCUUAGACGGGCCCGCGUCGGAUUAGCUAGUUGGUGGGGUAACGGCCUACCAAGGCGACGAUCCGUAGCUGAUCUGAGAGGAUGAUCAGCCACACUGGGACUGAGAUACGGCCCAGACUCCUACGGGAGGCAGCAGUGGGGAAUCUUGGACAAUGGGCGCAAGCCUGAUCCAGCCAUGCCGCGUGAGUGAAGAAGGCCUUAGGGUUGUAAAGCUCUUUUACCAGGGACGAUAAUGACGGUACCUGGAGAAUAAGCCCCGGCAAACUUCGUGCCAGCAGCCGCGGUAAUACGAAGGGGGCUAGCGUUGUUCGGAAUUACUGGGCGUAAAGCGCACGUAGGCGGGUCGUUAAGUCAGGGGUGAAAUCCCGGAGCUCAACUCCGGAACUGCCUUUGAUACUGGCGAUCUAGAGGUCGAGAGAGGUGAGUGGAAUUCCGAGUGUAGAGGUGAAAUUCGUAGAUAUUCGGAAGAACACCAGUGGCGAAGGCGGCUCACUGG
rnacentral:rRNA from 1 species